UACGUAGGGUGCAAGCGUUUGUCCGGAAUUAUUGGGCGUAAAGGGCUCGUAGGCGGUCCAUCGCGUCGGGAGUGAAAAGCUGGGGCUCAACCCCAGUCCUGCUUCCGAUACGGGUGGACUAGAGGUAUGCAGGGGAGAACGGAUUCCUGGAUGUAGCGGUGAAAUGCGCAGAUAUCAGGAGGAACACCGGUGGCGAAGGCGGCCAUCUGGCCCAACAUUGACACUGAGACCCGAAAGCGUGGGGAUCAAACAG
rnacentral:rRNA from 1 species